UACGUAGGGUGCAAGCGUUAAUCGGAAUUACUGGGCGUAAAGCGUGCGCAGGCGGUUUUGUAAGUCUGUCGUGAAGGCCCCGGGCUCAACCUGGGAAUUGCGAUGGAGACUGCAAGGCUUGAAUCUGGCAGAGGGGGGUAGAAUUCCACGUGUAGCAGUGAAAUGCGUAGAGAUGUGGAGGAACACCGAUGGCGAAGGCAGCCCCCUGGGUCAAGAUUGACGCUCAUGCACGAAAGCGUGGGGAGCAAACAGG
rnacentral:rRNA from 1 species